AAUCUUAUAGUUUAUUAAAAAUUUUAAAUUGCAAGUUUAAGGUAAUAAAAUAUAUUAUUUAUUAAGAUUU
rnacentral:tRNA from 1 species